GACGAACGCUGGCGGCGUGCCCAAUACAUGCAAGUAGAACGCUGAAGGAGGAGCUUGCUUCUCUGGAUGAGUUGCGAACGGGUGAGUAACGCGUAGGUAACCUGCCUGGUAGCGGGGGAUAACUAUUGGAAACGAUAGCUAAUACCGCAUAAGAGUAGAUGUCGCAUGACAUUUGCUUAAAAGGUGCAAUUGCAUCACUACCAGAUGGACCUGCGUUGUAUUAGCUAGUUGGUGAGGUAACGGCUCACCAAGGCAACGAUACAUAGCCGACCUGAGAGGGUGAUCGGCCACACUGGGACUGAGACACGGCCCAGACUCCUACGGGAGGCAGCAGUAGGGAAUCUUCGGCAAUGGACGGAAGUCUGACCGAGCAACGCCGCGUGAGUGAAGAAGGUUUUCGGAUCGUAAAGCUCUGUUGUAAGAGAAGAACGAGUGUGAGAGUGGAAAGUUCACACUGUGACGGUAUCUUACCAGAAAGGGACGGCUAACUACGUG
rnacentral:rRNA from 1 species